GUAUAGACCCGAAACCCGGUGAUCUAGCCAUGGGCAGGUUGAAGGUUGGGUAACACUAACUGGAGGACCGAACCGACUAAUGUUGAAAAAUUAGCGGAUGACUUGUGGCUGGGGGUGAAAGGCCAAUCAAACCGGGAGAUAGCUGGUUCUCCCCGAAAGCUAUUUAGGUAGCGCCUCGUGAACUCAUCUUCGGGGGUAGAGCACUGUUUCGGCUAGGGGGUCAUCCCGACUUACCAACCCGAUGCAAA
rnacentral:rRNA from 1 species